UCCCAUCUGGAUGAAGCACUAGGGUUGAGA
rnacentral:piRNA from 1 species